GCGGUCAUAGCCAAGAGGUAAGGCGCCUGCCUUCCAAGCAGGUAAGCGCGGGUUCGAUCCCCGCUGACCGCU
rnacentral:tRNA from 1 species